rnacentral:lncRNA from 1 species
AUAAUCUUGUCCUAAUAAAAAUAGGUUUAAGCUAAUCAUAAUGAGGGUGGCCGGUGAUUAGGUGUCCUAGUUGUAUACGGCUUGCAUGUCGUGUGGUAUUUUGAGCAGUAGCCUAAUAGGAAAUUAGGAGUCCAAGUACUAGACGUUUAGCCAUGUCCGUGUAAGCGUUUGGAGUCCAGAAUACUAGUCGGUUUAGGAGGUCCUUGGGUCGGCUCGUGCAUAUAUAAUCACAGCCUAGGGCAUGACUUUAUUGUAACACCGUGAGUCAAAAAAGGAGAAAAUAAAAAGAAGGAAAAGAGAGGCACGACACGUGCCUUUGGCGAAAGUUUUCGCAUGUGUCUGUGUUCGUCUGUGAUUUGAUGUGAUCGAUCCUGUUGGCGAAAUUCCAACAAUUGAUAUCAGAGCUAGGUCGAUUUGAAGCCGCGCUUGCCCCGGGGUGGCGAUCUGCUAGCGCCUCAGGGUGGGCGAUAUGGUUGCUGGGUGGUGCAGCGACGAGGAAGAGCGGGCCAUGAAGUCGCUAGAUGAUGCGGCAAAGAGGAGGAACAAGCGAUCGUCGUUCAUCGGAGCGACAAGGAGGGAGACGUCAGGCUGUCGUCGGCAAGGUGGCGGAUGGAGAUCGUUGACGGGAGCGGUGGUGCGGUGAUGCGGUGCUGGAAAGUCGUCAAGAUCGUCAUCCGGGAGUUAGAGUCAAGGAGUCGUGCGGGUUAGCACGGUCGGUCGGUCGUUGUCAUGUCCAAGUGCUUGUCUCUGUGAGGAGGCGUUGAAGAUGAAGAUGAAGCCCAGGUCGUCUGUGUCUCGACGAGAGGAUCAACUUCAACUAUGCGGGGACGGUAAACCAGUGAAGGUGAGUCUCUUCAAUGAGGCCAUGUCUCUACAUGAGGCUGAAGUGCAUGGUGUAGUGCACGGGGUGGUGUGAUCCACAAGGAGUCGGCAUGUAUCUUGCUAGGGUGGAUGGUGAAGUCCACCGGGUGGGGAAUUCCACAGGUUACUAGCGAGGCUGGGUAGUUCAAGGCAUAUUUGAGGUGGUCCGUAAAUUCGCCAAGUUGAAAUUGGGGAGAGAUUGUUGCAAUCAAUGAAGCCUAACAAUUUAACUUGUCAUGGUGUGAGCAGAUGAGUCGACAAGAAGACGUGGAGUCAAGAUUAGGAAGAGAUUGUUAGCAAUAAUCUAAUAAUCUUGUCCUAAUAAAAAUAGGUUUAAGCUAAUCAUUAUGAGGGUGGCCGGUGAUUAGGUGUCCUAGUUGUAUACGGCUUGCAUGUCGUGUGGUAUUUUGAGCAGUAGCCUAAUAGGAAAUUAGGAGUCCAAGUACUAGACAUUUAGCCAUGUCCGUGUAAGCGUUUGGAGUCCAGAAUACUAGUCGGUUUAGGAGGUCCUUGGGUCGGCUCGUGCAUAUAUAAGCACAGCCUAGGGCGUGACUUUAUUGUAACACCGUGAGU